UGGGGAAUAUUGCACAAUGGGCGAAAGCCUGAUGCAGCGACGCCGCGUGCGGGAUGACGGCCUUCGGGUUGUAAACCGCUUUCGGCAGGGAAGAAGCCGCAAGGUGACGGUACCUGCAGAAGAAGCGCCGGCUAACUACGUGCCAGCAGCCGCGGUAAUACGUAGGGCGCAAGCGUUGUCCGGAAUUAUUGGGCGUAAAGAGCUCGUAGGCGGUUCGUCGCGUCUGCUGUGAAAUCCUCAGGCUCAACCUGGGGCGUGCAGUGGGUACGGGCGGACUAGAGUGCGGUAGGGGUGACUGGAAUUCCUGGUGUAGCGGUGGAAUGCGCAGAUAUCAGGAGGAACACCGAUGGCGAAGGCAGGUCACUGGGCCGCAACUGACGCUGAGGAGCGAAAGCAUGGGGAGCGAACAGGAUUAGAUACCCUGGUAGUCCAUGCCGUAAACGUUGGGCACUAGGUGUGGGGUCCAUUCCACGGAUUCCGUGCCGCAGCAAA
rnacentral:rRNA from 1 species